CGGGAGAAAUCCUGAAAUUCGAAAGGGGAUUGGAUUCAAGUUUCUACCGGCUGUACAGGAUGCCUGGCCCCGCCAGAUGGCGCCGGUCGCCCGCGGCGAUUAAUUUCGCUUGUGGUGUCGUUCCCUGGCGAUCACUCGGUGAGGUGGCGAUCACUCUGGCACCGGAGGAGUGCACUUCCUCCCUAGUAGAAACGUCGCGACCCGUUGGGUGCCGGUCUAAGGCCCGGGAAGGCAGACCGUGUGUCCUGUGGGGGUUCCCACAGGCGUGCGGACUCUUGGGUGACCCGGCCGGCUGCCUCGACGGUAUGACCAGAGGGGGUCGAUCCGCUGAAUGGGAAACACUUUGGAUGUGUAGCGUCCGGCCCGGUUUCGAUGCGUGCGGGGAUUGAGGUGCAAACCGGGGGUGUCCGUGCGAAGCACGGCCCCGGCCCCGCUGCGUUUUCGGAUAUCGGUGUCCUCGGACUGGAUCGUUACUCCCGUCUGCGACGCCCACCUUCGGAUGGUC
rnacentral:rRNA from 1 species